AUUGAACGCUGGCGGCAGGCCUAACACAUGCAAGUCGAGCGGAGCGGUGGACGGGUGAGUAAUGCCUAGGAAUCUGCCUGGUAGUGGGGGAUAACGUCCGGAAACGGGCGCUAAUAUCGCAUACUAUCAGAUGAGCCUAGGUCGGAUUAGCUAGUUGGUGGGGUAAAGGCCUACCAAGGCGACGAUCCCUAGCUGGUCUGAGAGGAUGAUCAGCCACACUGGAACUGAGACACGGUCCAGACUCCUACGGGAGGCAGCAGUGGGGAAUAUUGCACAAUGGGCGAAAGCCUGAUGCAGCCAUGCCGCGUGUGUGAAGAAGGUCCUAGGGUUGUAAAGCACUUUAAGUUGGGAGGCGUUACCGACAGAAGAAGCACCGGCUAACUCCGUGCCAGCAGCCGCGGUAAUAC
rnacentral:rRNA from 1 species